rnacentral:rRNA from 1 species
UACGAAGGGGGCUAGCGUUGUUCGGAAUUACUGGGCGUAAAGCGCGCGUAGGCGGUUUUGCAAGCCAGAGGUGAAAUGCCUGAGCUCAACUUAGGAAUUGCCUUUGGGACUGCGAGGCUUUGAGGACUGGAGAGGUGAGUGGAAUUCCCAGUGUAGAGGUGAAAUUCGUAGAUAUUGGGAAGAACACCGGUGGCGAAGGCGGCUCUCUGGAACGGUACUGACGCUGAGACGCGAAAGCGUGGGGAGCGAACAGG